GACAGAGGGUGCAAACGUUGUUCGGAAUUACUGGGCGUAAAGGGUGCGUAGGCGGUUUGGUAAGUCUUAUGUGAAAUCUAUGGGCUCAACUCAUAGACUGCAUGAGAAACUGCCGGGCUUGAGUAUGGGAGAGGCGAGUGGAAUUCCUGGUGUAGCGGUGGAAUGCGCAGAUAUCAGGAGGAACACCAAUAGCGAAGGCAGCUCGCUGGGACGUUACUGACGCUGAGGCACGAAAGCGUGGGGAGCAAACAGG
rnacentral:rRNA from 1 species